GGAAAAUACACAAGUAAACAAAGUAUGGCGGCGGCAGAAGUUUCAGUGAAACGUGUGUACUCGAAGACCAUAAAACAUCGAUCACACAAGAAAUAAGGAUCACAGAAAAGAGAAAUGGACACUAAGCUCUUGGCAAGUAAAAAUAUCAAAGGUUUACUUCCUGCCAGUUUCCACUUAAGCACUGGACCAAUACCGUUAUCUUCCAUCUGGAGACAUUGUAGACUUGAUGAGUUGUACUUUGACAUCCAUUGUGUCCCUUCAGUAUCUACGGAGGAGCACGAAACUCGUGAGGUAGAUCUGGAUUCUUGAAGACCACGACGCCUCCGUCGACUUUUACGUCCUGCCAUAGUGAUUUAUUUUUAUUUGAUGCUUACUUAAUAAAAUUUUUGUUUCUCAAACACAGACAAAGCGUUGUUAUGAUUCGAUCACAGGACCCGUAAACUUAAACGGAUCAUUCGAUCACAGGACCCGUAAACUUAAA